CCCUUGCUGGUCUGGUGGCUAGGAUUCCUGGUUCUCAUCCUUGGAAUGAACCUCUCAUUCCAGGUUCAAUUCCUUGGCAGGGAA
rnacentral:tRNA from 1 species